UACAGAGGUGCGAGCGUUGUCCGGAAUCACUGGGCGUAAAGGCGCGUAGGCGGCUUGAUAAGCGUGCGGUGAAAGCCCGGGCUCAACCCGGGUCGGCCGUGCGAACUGUCGAGCUGGAGCACUGUAGAGGCAGGUGGAAUUCCGGUGUAGCGGUGGAAUGCGUAGAGAUCCGGAAGAACACCGGUGGCGAAGGCGGCCUGCUGGCGAGUGGCUGACGCUGAGGCGCGACAGCGUGGGAGCAAACAGG
rnacentral:rRNA from 1 species